rnacentral:rRNA from 1 species
AUCGAACGCUGGCGGCAGGCCUAACACAUGAAAUUCGAUCGGAGCGGCGGACGGGUGAGUAAUGCCUAGGUAUCUGCUUGGUAUUGGGGGAUACCGUCCGGAAACGGGCGCUAUUACCGCAUACUCUCCGAUGAGCCUAGGUCGGAUUAGAUAGCUGGUGGGUUAAAGUCCUACCAAGGCGACGAUCCGUAGCUGGUCUGAGAGGAUGAUCAGUCACACUGGAACGGAGACACGGUACAGACUCCUACGGGAGGCAGCAGUGGGGAAGAUUGGACAAUGGGCGAAAGCCUGAUACAGCCAUGCCGAGUGUGUGAAGAAGGUCGUCGGAUUGUAGAGCACUUUAAGUGGGGAGGCGUUACCAACAGAAUAAGCACCGGCUAACUUAGUGCCAGCAGCCGCGGUAAUAC